rnacentral:rRNA from 1 species
UCAGUUGUGAAAGUUUGCGGCUCAACCGUAAAAUUGCAGUUGAUACUGGAUGUCUUGAGUGCAGUUGAGGCAGGCGGAAUUCGUGGUGUAGCGGUGAAAUGCUUAGAUAUCACGAAGAACUCCGAUUGCGAAGGCAGCCUGCUAAGCUGCAACUGACAUUGAGGCUCGAAAGUGUGGGUAUCAAACAGGAUUAGAUACCCUGGUAGUCCACACGGUAAACGAUGAAUACUCGCUGUUUGCGAUAUACGGCAAGCGGCCAAGCGAAAGCGUUAAGUAUUCCACCUGGGGAGUACGCCGGCAACGGUGAAACUCAAAGGAAUUGACGGGGGCCCGCACAAGCGGAGGAGCAUGUGGUUUAAUUCGAUGAUACGCGAGGAACCUUACCCGGGCUUAAAUUGCACUCGAAUGAUCCGGAAACGGUUCAGCUAGCAAUAGCGAGUGUGAAGGUGCUGCAUGGUUGUCGUCAGCUCGUGCCGUGAGGUGUCGGC